UAAGUGCUAUCUUAUAGCUAAUUAUAAGACAAUUUUUGGCGUUGAAUAUUAAACUUAGAGGAUUCUCUCUAUUUUCCUAUCAACUUGGUAUUCUGCUGAAAUCAACAAGGCAUAGAACCCUUUUGCACUUGGUUAUUCUCAUCUAGAUAAUCAACAAGGAUUGAAGGUUUAUUGUUUUCUUUUUUAUUCUUCAUCAUUCUUGCUAUCACGCAUUGCAUCACCAAGGCUUU
rnacentral:lncRNA from 1 species